rnacentral:rRNA from 1 species
UACGUAGGGUGCGAGCGUUAAUCGGAAUUACUGGGCGUAAAGCGUGCUGCGAGGCGGGUGAUGUAAGACAGAUGUGAAAUCCCCGGGCUCAACCUGGGACCUGCAUUUGUGACUGCAUCGCUAGAGUACGGCAGAGGGGGAUGGAAUUCCGCGUGUAGCAGUGAAAUGCGUAGAUAUGCGGAGGAACACCGAUGGCGAAGGCAAUCCCCUGGGCCUGUACUGACGCUCAUGCACGAAAGCGUGGGGAGCAAACAGG